AUGUAAUAACAAACAUGAGAUUGUCGACACGAAUAUCUACCUGAUCGAUUGGAGCGUCCUGCUCCAGUUAUUAUCGCCGCCAAAAAAAAAAAGCCAAAAAGUAAAAGAAAAUUGAGGCCAAGACGUGCUUCUAGUUCUCUUAUUUUCUGUUACAAGAAAUCGUUUUUGUGCAACUCUAGACUCGGUCACNCAAAAAAAAAAAAAAAAAAAGCCAAAAAGUAAAAGAAAAUUGAGGCCAAGAAGUGCUUCUAGUUCUCUUAUUUUCUGUUACAAGAAAUCGUUAUUGUGCAACUCUAGACUCGGUCGCGGCAUUUUUGAAUCAGGCUACAUUUUUGCAGUAGUUUUCGAGCCAAUCCA
rnacentral:lncRNA from 1 species